UCCGGUUUGUCACCGGCAGUCUCAUUAGAGUGCCCAACUAAAUGAUGGCAACUAAUGACAAGGGUUGCGCUCGUUGCGGGACUUAACCCAACAUCUCACGACACGAGCUGACGACAGCCAUGCAGCACCUGUGUCCAGGCUCCCUUUCGGGCACUCCCACCUCUCAGCAGGAUUCCUGGCAUGUCAAGGGUAGGUAAGGUUUUUCGCGUUGCAUCGAAUUAAUCCACAUCAUCCACCGCUUGUGCGGGUCCCCGUCAAUUCCUUUGAGUUUUAAUCUUGCGACCGUACUCCCCAGGCGGCCAACUUCACGCGUUAGCUACGGUACUAAGGAAGUCUCCUUCCCCAACACCUAGUUGGCAUCGUUUAGGGCGUGGACUAC
rnacentral:misc_RNA from 1 species